UGAACUUCCAAAAGGUGAGGCUACUUUGGUAGCUCUUGUUUAUUUAAGGAUAUGUAUCACCUUCCAAUCAAACUUACAAAUAUCUCCUUUCACGUAAGAGUGAUUUACAAAUCAUUCUUCAACUAAUCUUCAAACCAAAUUUGGAAAAAUUCUAUAUUUUCUUCCAUACAAGGUUAGCUCAUUCCCCACAUCAUUUUCCAAUCAAACUUCUAAAUAUUCUAAAUUCCAUUAAUAAUUAGAUUAUCUAUGAGAUACUCCAAGUUGCUAUAUUCUUUCCAAAAUAUUAAAUUCUGGUGAUUUUUCAAGAUACAUUAGAUCUCAGAAUGUGGCUUAAGCUCUGUUAUAAUAACAAAUAGCAAAUUUGUUUCUAAUUAUAUUAUCCUAAAAAUUUUUUUUAAGUCUUAUUAUGAAAAUUUAAUUACCUUCUCUAUUGCUAUAAAUAUAUAUAUAUAUUAGGUCUGAAAACGAGUAAGUAACAGUAUGUACAUGGAUAAACUCCAAUAAUGACAUUUUUAAAUGUUUAGAUAGGUUCUUCUUUCACUCUUUUAAAAAGAAUCUACUGUCUUUUACUGGUUCACGUCUAUAUAAAGUUAUAUAAUUCCUUUCAUUCUAGCACUUUUAUCUACCGUUAUGGCCCCUCCAGUUAAGGCAACCUCGGGCAAGGCCUGAUAAUAUACUGUACGUGUUAUUAUUCAUUGUUGAAGAAGUACAACAAUAUGUUGACCAACAUUCUGCUUUAUGUUAGUAUUUAAAAACAAGUAUAAAAAUUUGUAUAGGCUGACCUUUUGGACAAGAUUAAGUUCCAACGUACGUGAAGACUUGGUUAGCUAUGGCAAACAAGCCAGUUGGAGAAAUGUCUCUAAUAACGUCACAAUGGCAAAUGAAGGAAGGGAGAACAUUGCUUUCAGUUCAGAAACUGUCAAGGACGAUACACGGGCUAAUGUGAAAAUGCACAAAGAAGACAACCAC